rnacentral:lncRNA from 1 species
UUUUUUUUUUUUUUUUUAAGAGAUGGGAGGGUCAUACUUUGUUGCCCAGGAUGAUCUCGAACUCCUGAGUUCAAGUUAUCCCUCCUAUCCUGGCCUCUCAAGGUGCUGGGAUUACGGGCGUGAGCCAACACAUUUGGCUGCUAACUAAUUUUUAUUAGUCCUGUUGCCAGGGUUUCUUUAGGUUCUGACAGUCCAAACUUAAGUUUCUUUUCAUGGCUGAAAUAGGGAAUGGGGCAAAAAGCUGCUCCCUUUUACAGUUCUACAGUAUAAUGAAUGUGUUGGCUGAUACAAAAAUAAAAAUAUAAGAAUAAUGAGUGUUUAUUUAAAUUCCUACUCCUGCUAGGGAAAUAGAAAACCAAGGGCACGAGACAGUGCUGAUAAGAGCUCUCAUCAUUAUAAAGGUUAAGGUUGGAGAAGGGUCCCGGAGAGUGUUGAACAAUUGAUUGCUACCUGGGGACAUUGUCUAGGGCUUCAGGAAUGUAAGGAAGAACAGAGAGGAGUAGGGUAGAAGGGAGUUGGGGGUGGGGGACUGGGCUGAGGACAAGGAUAGGUUUUGAUUCUGAAGUAAAAGAACCAGGUCCUAAAGACCCUUGACCCUUCCUCCUCCUACCUGAAAGGUACUCUUUUUGCUUGAAUUUCAGGAAUGUUCAGCCUCGUUCUCACCUGUUUUGAAAGAUUCCAAGCACUCAGGAAGGCGGAGCUUGGCCCGGGGUGUGUGGCAAGCUGGAGUUUUCAGUGUGUUUCCUUCUACCUUCCCCCUAUUCAGAACUGCCCCUAUCUCCCAGGUAUGGAACUGGAGCCAGGAAAGGGUACUAUAGGGUCAGAGGUAUUCCCUGCCAGUCCCCCUCCCUGCAUCCAUACUGUUUUCACUGUUUCAGUCCACACUUAGUGCAGUUGGAGAGGGGAAGCCAUUGGGCAGAGCAAUAUCCCAGAGUCCUAAGGGAAAUGAGGCCAAGUUUAAAAUAAUCAGAUGUCAAGCAAAUAACCUUUCAACAUUUUACCCAGAAACCUUUGGGUGCUAAUAAGAUUUUUGCACCCAAAUAGCAAAUCUAACCCUCUACUUCAGUAAUUUUUCUCCCAGUCUCCUUAUCUCCAUUACUAGGGCCUAGGAGAGCCUCUGAGUCUAAGCUUCCUUCAGAUGACCUCUCGGGUCAGAUCGGUGGCCCAGCAACUCAGAUGCAAGUAAAAGAUAAUUUCUCUUUCCAGGGAGUUCUCUCCACAAGCCCAUUCUCCUUGGCACUUAGGGUUUUAAAAAUUAUUAUUACAACUCUAUUGAAGGCUGUGUAUGGUGGCUCACACCUAUAAUUACUAUACUUUGGCAGGCCGAGGCGAGAGAU